rnacentral:rRNA from 1 species
UACGUAGGGGGCUAGCGUUGUCCGGAAUCAUUGGGCGUAAAGAGCGUGUAGGCGGUUUGGUAGGUCCGCUGUGAAAACUCGAGCUCAACCUCGAGACGCCGGUGGAAACCAUCAGACUAGAGUCCGGAAGAGGAGAGUGGAAUUCCUGGUGUAGCGGUGAAAUGCGUAGAUAUCAGGAGGAACACCGGUGGUGUAAACGCUUUCUGGACCGUAACUGACGCUGAGGCACGAAAGCGUGGGUAGCAAACAGG